CCUACGGGAGGCAUCAGUGGGGCAUAUUGGGCAAUGGGCGCAAGCCUGACCCAGCAACGCCGCGUGAAGGAAGAAGGCUUUCGGGUUGUAAACUUCUUUUGUCAGGGAAGAGUAGAAGACGGUACCUGACGAAUAAGCCACGGCUAACUACGUGCCAGCAGCCGCGGUAAUACGUAGGUGGCAAGCGUUGUCCGGAUUUACUGGGUGUAAAGGGCGUGUAGCCGGGUUGACAAGUCAGAUGUGAAAUCCUGCGGCUUAACCGAAGAACUGCAUUUGAAACUGUUGAUCUUGAGUACUGGAGAGGCAGACGGAAUUCCUAGUGUAGCGGUGAAAUGCGUAGAUAUUAGGAGGAACACCAGUGGCGAAGGCGGUCUGCUGGACAGCAACUGACGGUGAGGCGCGAAAGCGUGGGGAGCAAACAGGAUUAGAUACCCGAGUAGUC
rnacentral:rRNA from 1 species